rnacentral:rRNA from 1 species
GAUGAACGCUGGCGGCGUGCCUAAUACAUGCAAGUCGGGCGAACAGACGAGGAGCUUGCUCCUCUGACGUUAGCGGCGGACGGGUGAGUAACACGUGGAUAACCUACCUAUAAGACUGGGAUAACUUCGGGAAACCGGAGCUAAUACCGGAUAAUAUAUUGAACCGCAUGGUUCAAUAGUGAAAGACGGUUUUGCUGUCACUUAUAGAUGGAUCCGCUCCGCAUUAGCUAGUUGGUAAGGUAACGGCUUACCAAGGCAACGAUGCGUAGCCGACCUGAGAGGGUGAUCGGCCACACUGGAACUGAAACACGGUCCAGACUCCUACGGGAGGCAGCAGUAGGGAAUCUUCCGCAAUGGGCGAAAGCCUGACGGAGCAACGCCGCGUGAGUGAUGAAGGUCUUCGGAUCGUAAAACUCUGUUAUUAGGGAAGAACAAAUGUGGAAGUAACUAUGCACGUCUUGACGGUACCUAAUCAGAAAGCCACGGCUAACUACGUG